rnacentral:rRNA from 1 species
GAUGAACGCUGGCGGCGUGCCUAAUACAUGCAAGUCGAGCGAACAGACGAGGAGCUUGCUCCUCUGACGUUAGCGGCGGACGGGUGAGUAACACGUGGAUAACCUACCUAUAAGACUGGGAUAACUUCGGGAAACCGGAGCUAAUACCGGAUAAUAUAUUGAACCGCAUGGUUCAAUAGUGAAAGACGGUUUUGCUGUCACUUAUAGAUGGAUCCGCGCGGCAUUAGCUAGUUGGUAAGGUAACGGCUUACCAAGGCAACGAUGCGUAGCCGACCUGAGAGGGUGAUCGGCCACACGGGAACUGAGACACGGUCCAGACUCCUACGGGAGGCAGCAGUAGGGAAUCUUCCGCAAUGGGCGAAAGCCUGACGGAGCAACGCCGCGUGAGUGAUGAAGGUCUUCGGAUCGUAAAACUCUGUUAUUAGGGAAGAACAAAUGUGUAAGUAACUAUGCACGUCUUGACGGUACCUAAUCAGAAAGCCACGGCUAACUACGUG